AAUUUAAUUGUGCAAUUCAAUUUAAUUUGAUGAUCUGACUCUUACUUUAAUUAAUUAUUUUCAAUA
rnacentral:tRNA from 1 species